GGGCAUAUGGUGUAGUUGGUUUAUCACGCUCGCUUAGCACGAUCACUUGCGAGAGGUGUCCGGUUCAAUUCCGGAUAUGUCCA